rnacentral:sRNA from 1 species
CAUGAUGCUUACUCAGUAGGUGUGAUAAAUUAGCAAGGGUAAGCAAGUAUUGCUGACUGGAAAAAAAGAAGAAGAAAAAGAGAAUUUCAGGAUUUCUAAACUAUUAGCUACUUCAGUGUGGUGCCAGCAAGUCCAAGACAUAUGGAAACACAGGGCAUAUGGAGAUGUAAAUAAUAGGAGGAAUUGUUGAUAAAGACCUUCGUCACUACCUCAACUUACGAUUUCAAAAGGGUUCUGUGGACCAUGAGCUUCAGCAAAUCAUUCGUGACAACCUCUACCUCCGCACGGUGCCAUGUACAUUUAUUUAUAAACAUGUUAUAAGAAGGGAGAGUGACAUCAACCUGUGGAUUAGAUCACCAAAAAAGCAACCAUCUUAUUCCAAUGGAAAGAAAUUCCCUGAGUUAAAAAUGAUCAAAAAUGAAUAUGAUAGCCAGGAAAAUCUGGACAAUGUGUUUUCACCUAGAUGGAUUUUUAGAAUUCUACUUCAAUCAAUAAAGAUAAGAAUCAAGAACAAAUUCCUUUGGGUGAUGGAAUUUUCUUCAAUACAUAAAAAUAUAUUUUUUAACUGAAGACCCAAUAUAAAAAGAUGAAUUACAAGUCAAAUAUUUUGUUUUGUGUCAAAGGCAUUCUAACACUAUAAAAUUGACAUGUGGAAUUUUGAAA